rnacentral:rRNA from 1 species
UGAAAACCUAAAGGCGCAAUGAAAGUAAAAGGAGCCCAGCUCCCGAGGGAGGAUGAGGGUUUUGCCUUUCGUAGGCGGCCCUCCGCACUCCCGGGGCGUCUCUUUCUCAUUACGAGUUGAGGCGCACCUAUAGCGCACACGCUGAUACCCGAAAGAUGGUGAACUAUGCCUGGCCAGGACGAAGCCAGGGGAAACCCUGGUGGAGGUCCGCAGCGAUUCUGACGUGCAAAUCGAUCGUCGGAGCUGGGUAUAGGGGCGAAAGACCAAUCGAACCAUCUAGUAGCUGGUUCCCUCUGAAGUUUCCCUCAGGAUAGCUUGCGCUCGGAGAGACGAGUCUCAUCCGGUAGAGCGAAUGAUUAGAGGCCUUGGGGUCGAAACGACCUCAACCUAUUCUCAAACUCCAAAUAGAUGAGAUCCCCGGCUUGCUUGAAAGUGAAGCCGGGAGACUCGGAUCGGAGUGCCAAGUGGGCCAAUUUUGGUAAGCAGAACUGGCGCUGUGGGAUGAACCAAACGCAGAGUUAAGGCGCCCGAAUCGACGCUCAUGUGAAACCAUGAAAGGCGUUGGUUGCUUAAGACAGCAGGACGGUGGCCAUGGAAGUCGGAAUCCGUAAGGGGGUGUGGUAAA